UUCUCUUCGGCAUUGCAAUUGAAAAUGCUGUCAUUUAUUAUCCCUUCUUUGCUUGCCUGACGACGUAUCACAAAAUAAUUGGAGCAAUGAUGGGCCUUCCAUAUUGUAUAGUCAAUUUUUGUGUAAAUUUAACACAAAGUUUUCAGAAAUGUCGGAAUUAUUCUUCAACCGGUUUCGCAGUAAUCAUAAUGAGCAGUUUGCCAAUCGUGAUAAACCAUUUGUUUAUCCUGGGAAAGUUCAUAUUC